AAGUCGUAACAAGGUCUCCGUAGGUGAACCUGCGGAGGGAUCAUUACCGAGUGCGGGCCCUCGCGCCCAACCUCCCAACCCUUUGUCGAUUCAUAUCUGUUGCCUCGGGGGCGACCCGGACGUCACGUCCGGGAGUCCCCCAGAGGUCCAACCCAACACACUGCGUCUUUGCGUCGGAGUAUUGAAAACAGUCAAUCAAAA
rnacentral:misc_RNA from 1 species